rnacentral:rRNA from 1 species
GACGAACGCUGGCGGCGUGCUUAACACAUGCAAGUCGAAUGGAAAGGCCCUGCUUGCAGGGUACUCGAGUGGCGAACGGGUGAGUAACACGUGGGUGAUCUGCCCUGCACUUCGGGAUAAGCUUGGGAAACUGGGUCUAAUACCGGAUAGGAACCAUCUUUAGUGUGGUGGUUGGAAAGUUUUUUCGGUGUAGGAUGAGCUCGCGGCCUAUCAGCUUGUUGGUGGGGUAAUGGCCUACCAAGGCGGCGACGGGUAGCCGGCCUGAGAGGGUGUACGGCCACAUUGGGACUGAGAUACGGCCCAGACUCCUACGGGAGGCAGCAGUGGGGAAUAUUGCACAAUGGGCGCAAGCCUGAUGCAGCGACGCCGCGUGGGGGAUGAAGGCCUUCGGGUUGUAAACUCCUUUCGCUAGGGACGAAGCUUUGUUGUGACGGUACCUAGAUAAGAAGCACCGGCUAACUACGUG